GAUGAAGAACGUAGUGAAAUGCGAUAAGUAAUGUGAAUUGCAGAAUUCAGUGAAUCAUCGAAUCUUUGAACGCACAUUGCGCCCCCUGGUAUUCCGGGGGGCAUGCCUGUUCGAGCGUCAUUACAACCCUCAAGCUCUGCUUGGUAUUGGGCCCCGCCAGUUCUGGCGGGCCCUAAAGUCAGUGGCGGUGCCUUCCGGCUCCGAGCGUAGUAAUUCUUCUCGCUCUGGAGACCCGGUUGUGUGCUUGCCAACAACCCCCAAUUUUUUAAGGUUGACCUCGGAUCAGGUAGGGAUACCAGCUGAACUUAAGCAUAUCAAUAAGCGGAGGA
rnacentral:misc_RNA from 1 species